AGGUCCUCUUGGCCUUUUGGCUAACAUCAAGUGUAGUAUCUGUUCUUAUCAGUUUAAUACUUAGUCUUUUAUGAAUGAAUAAUAUUCCAUCAAAUAGAUGUGCCAGAUUUAAUUCAU
rnacentral:snRNA from 1 species